GCGGGAAUAGCUCAGCUGGUAGAGCAUUGCCUUCCCAAGGCAAGGGUCGCGGGUUCGAAUCCCGUUUCCCGCUCCA
rnacentral:tRNA from 1 species